AUACGUAGGGGGCGAGCGUUAUCCGGAUUUACUGGGUGUAAAGGGAGCGUAGACGGAAGGCCAAGUCUGAUGUGAAAGCCCGCGGCUCAACUGCGGGACUGCAUUGGAAACUGGUCAUCUGGAGUGCAGGAGGGGUAAGCGGAAUUCCUAGUGUAGCGGUGAAAUGCGUAGAUAUUAGGAGGAACACCGGUGGCGAAGGCGGCUUACUGGACUUUAACUGACGUUGAGGCUCAAAAGCGUGGGGAGCAAACAGGAUUAGAUACCCUGGUAUUCCACGCCGUAAACGAUGAAUACUAGGUGUCGGGUUUCUAUAGAGAUUCGGUGCCGCAGCAAACGCAAUAAGUAUUCCACCUGGGGAGUACGUUCGCAAGAAUGAAACUCAAAUGAAUUGACGGGG
rnacentral:rRNA from 1 species